GCAUCAGUGGUGUAACGGUAACAUUGGAGCUUCCUGUGCUCUAGCCUCGGGUUCGACUCCCGGCUGAUGCA
rnacentral:tRNA from 1 species